AAAGAAGGCGUAAAAGCUCCCUGGCCGAGUCGGCCUGCGCGGAAGAUGUAACGGGGCUAAACCAUGCACCGAAGCUGCGGCAGCGACACUCAGGUGUUGUUGGGUAGGGGAGCGUUCUGUAAGCCUGCGAAGGUGGCCUGUGAGGGUUGCUGGAGGUAUCAGAAGUGCGAAUGCUGACAUAAGUAACGAUAAAGCGGGUGAAAAGCCCGCUCGCCGGAAGACCAA
rnacentral:rRNA from 1 species